rnacentral:rRNA from 1 species
AUUGAACGCUGGCGGCAGGCCUAACACAUGCAAGUCGAGCGAGCGGCGGACGGGUGAGUACUGUCUGUGAACCUGCUUGAUGGAGGGGGAUAACUACUGGAAACGGUAGCUACUACCGCAUACCAUCAGAUGUGCCCCGUGGUGCUUAGCUAGUAGGUGGGGUAACGGCUCACCUAGGCGACGAUCCCUAGCUGGUCUGGGAGGAUGACCCGCCACACCGGAACUGAGACACGGUCCAGACUCCGACGGGAGGCAGCAGGGGGGAAUUUUGGAAAAUUGGCGGAAGCCUGAUUCAUCCACGCCGCGUGUGUGAAGAAGGCGUUGGGGUUGUAAAGCACUUUAAGCGGGGAGGCGUUACCCGCAGAAGAAGCACCGGCUAACUCCGUGCCAGCAGCCGCGGUAAUUC